GACGAACCGUGCGAACGUUAUUCGGAAUCACUGGCUUAAAGCGCGUGUAGGCGGGAGGGCACGUCCGUCGCUGAAAUCCCCCGGCUCAACCGGGGAACGGGCGCGGAUACGACCUUCCUGGAGGGCGUAGGGGGACCUGGAACUUCCGGUGGAGCGGUGAAAUGCGUUGAGAUCGGAAGAACGCCCGUGGCGAAGCGAGGUCCUGGACGCCUACUGAC
rnacentral:rRNA from 1 species